rnacentral:rRNA from 1 species
CCUACGGGAGGCAGCAGUCGGGAAUAUUGGACAAUGGGCGCAAGCCUGAUCCAGCAAUACCGCGUGUGUGAAGAAGGCCUGCGGGUUGUAAAGCACUUUCAGAUGGGAAGAUGAUGACGUUACCAUCAGAAGAAGCACCGGCUAACUCCGUGCCAGCAGCCGCGGUAAUACGGAGGGUGCAAGCGUUAAUCGGAAUUACUGGGCGUAAAGCGCGCGUAGGCGGCUAAGUCAGUCAGAUGUGAAAGCCCCGGGCUCAACCUGGGAACUGCAUUUGAUACUGCUUGGCUAGAAUGUGGUAGAGGGUUGUGGAAUUCCAGGUGUAGCGGUGAAAUGCGUAGAUAUCUGGAGGAACAUCAGUGGCGAAGGCGACAACCUGGACCAACAUUGACGCUGAGGUGCGAAAGCGUGGGUAGCAAACAGGAUUAGAUACCCUGGUAGUCCACGCCGUAAACGAUGUCAACUAGCCGUUGGGUUCAUUCAAGAACUUGGUGGCGCAGCUAACGCGUUAAGUUGACCGCCUGGGGAGUACGCCGGCAACGGUAAAACUCAAAGGAAUUGACGG